rnacentral:rRNA from 1 species
AUUGAACGCUGGCGGCAGGCCUAACACAUGCAAGUCGAACGGUAGCACAGAGAGCUUGCUCUCGGGUGACGAGUGGCGGACGGGUGAGUAAUGUCUGGGAAACUGCCCGAUGGAGGGGGAUAACUACUGGGAACGGUAGCUAAUACCGCAUAACGUCGCAAGACCAAAGUGGGGGACCUUCGGGCCUCACACCAUCGGAUGUGCCCAGAUGGGAUUAGCUAGUAGGUGGGGUAAUGGCUCACCUAGGCGACGAUCCCUAGCUGGUCUGAGAGGAUGACCAGCCACACUGGAACUGAGACACGGUCCAGACUCCUACGGGAGGCAGCAGUGGGGAAUAUUGCACAAUGGGCGCAAGCCUGAUGCAGCCAUGCCGCGUGUAUGUAGAAGGCCUUCGGGUUGUAAAGUACUUUCAGCGGGGAGGAAGGCGGUGAAGUUAAUAGCUUCACCGAUUGACGUUACCCGCAGAAGAAGCACCGGCUAACUCCGUGCCAGCAGCCGCAGUAA